GCCGAUGUGGUGGAAUUGGUAGACACGCUAUCUUGAGGGGGUAGUGGCGUAAGCCGUGCCGGUUCAAGUCCGGCCAUCGGCACCA
rnacentral:tRNA from 8 species